rnacentral:rRNA from 1 species
UACGUAGGGGGCAAGCGUUGUCCGGAAUCAUUGGGCGUAAAGCGCACGUAGGCGGCUUUGCAAGUUAGAGGUGAAAGCCCGGGGCUCAACUCCGGAAUUGCCUUUAAAACUGCAUCGCUAGAAUUGUGGAGAGGUAAGUGGAAUUCCCAGUGUAGAGGUGAAAUUCGUAGAUAUUGGGAAGAACACCGGUGGCGAAGGCGGCUCUCUGGACCGAGACUGACGCUGAGGCGCGAAAGCGUGGGGAGCAAACAGG